GUUUACACCAUGUAGGGGAGCAGGUGCCUUAAAGUCUGGCUUCGCCCCCAAAAGAGCCUCUUCCAUCUUUUCCAGUAGAGCGAUGUCAUGUAUGUGAUGAGAAGAAAUGGUUUGACAUGCCGUCGUUUUUUCUCGUACUUGUGUUAUGCAUGCGUGCUGUUGUGGAAUGUUGAACAUUAAAGAAACGGGGUGCACUUUUAAUAUCAAGCCAUUUGAGGCAGUGCUAGCACUUGA